rnacentral:rRNA from 1 species
CCAAUAGCGUAUAUUAAAGUUGUUGCAGUUAAAAAGCUCGUAGUUGAAUUUCGGGGUUCUACCGUUGGUCGGGCUAACCAGUCUGUACUAGCGUGUAGAAUUCCUACCUUCUGUGGAACCAUCAUGUUAUUAAUUUAGCGUGGUGGGAAACCAGGACCUUUACCUUGAAAAAAUUAGAGUGUUCACAGCAGGCUUACGUCUGAAUACAUUAGUAUGGCAUAAUAGAAUAGGACGGUGGUCCUGUUUUGUUGGUUUCUGAAUCACCGUAAUGAUUAAUAGGGAUAGUUGGGGGCAUUAGUAUUCAAUUGUCAGAGGUGAAAUUCUUGGAUUUAUUGAAGACUAACUUCUGCGAAAGCAUUUGCCAAGGAUGUUUUCAUUAAUCAAGAACGAAAGUUAGGGGAUCGAAGACGAUCAGAUACCGUCGUAGUCUUAACCAUAAACUAUGCCGACUAGGGAUCGGACGAUGUUAAAUUUUAUUGACUCGUUCGGCGCCUUACG